rnacentral:rRNA from 1 species
UACCAGCUCUCCGAGUGGUAGGGAUGAUUAUUGGGCUUAAAGCGUCCGUAGCCGGCUUAGCAAGUCUCCUGUUAAAUUCAGCGACCUAAUCGUUGAGCCGCGGGAGAUACUACUAGGCUAGGAGGCGGGAGAGGUCAACGGUACUUCCGGGGUAGGGGUGAAAUCCUAUAAUCCCGGGAGGACCACCAGUGGCGAAGGCUGUUGACUAGAACGCGCUCGACGGUGAGGGACGAAAGCUGGGGGAGCGAACCGGAUUAGAUACCCGGGUAGUCCCAGCUGUAAACGAUGCGAGCUAGGUGUUGGGGUGGCUACGUGCCACUUCAGUGCCGCAGGGAAGCCAUUAAGCUCGCCGCCGUGGGGAGUACGGCCGCAAGGCUGAAACUUAAAGGAUUGGCGGGGAGCACCACAAGGCGUGAAGCUUGCGGUUC